CUUCUCCCCGCUCCAGCCAAUCUGCCGCGCCUCCCCCUCCCCUCCCUCUCCCUGCGCGUGGACCAUGGGCGCGCGCGGGAUGUUGGCGGGCAGUUGGGGCAUGAACUGCCCGUGAGGAGGCCAGAAAGCAGGUGCAGCUGGCGCAGACGUGUCAUGCUGAGACGCCCUCGCCCGGAGGUUGAACAGCGCAGAGUUGGUGAGGAUUACAAGGAAUGUAAGGGUGACUAGAGUAAAGCUCUGCGAAAAGGGCGUUAGCCGCACUAUACACCUGAACACCUGAGCGCUGUCCCUACCAUAGUUUUCCAGCUGAUGGGUUCUACAAAGCUGUUGAUAACGCCAGCAAAGGUUUCGGCGAUGAUGUUGAUUCUUCCAACAACAGUAGGAUCUCGGUUCAUGCAAGCUUCCCAGGCUCUACAUGGAGCGUCCCUGUCGGAUCGUCAGACGAGGUUGGGGGAAGGUGGGCUUACAUAUGGGGUAUUCUGUUUGAGCUACACAUAUUUGUCAAGUACAUGUUGGUACACUCGGCAAUCUCCUGCAGUAUUUCUGGCAAACGGGAGUGAACAUGUGUCUGCUACUCAUUACACAGCUCACUCACCGACAGAAUACUCGUUCAUCUUAUCCUUGACAUCCCUCCUUACAGUCAAGACAAACAGGAUUACCAGGUAGAUGCAGAAGAGAACAAUGGAUGUGUUUACAAAGAACUGAAGGUAGCUAGGGGGCAGACUGAGCUGAUAAUCCCAUCGUGACAAUCCAGAGACUUACCCCAACAGGAGGGCCGGUAUUUCAGAGUGUCUGAGAGACGGGGCAGCCAUAUGUACACUGUAGUGGUGUUCUGAUUUUGUGAAUGCAGGCGU
rnacentral:sRNA from 1 species